UGGGGAAUUUUGGACAAUGGGGGAAACCCUGAUCCAGCCAUCCCGCGUGUGCGAUGAAGGCCUUCGGGUUGUAAAGCACUUUUGGCAGGAAAGAAACGUCAUGGGUUAAUACCCCGUGAAACUGACGGUACCUGCAGAAUAAGCACCGGCUAACUACGUGCCAGCAGCCGCGGUAAUACGUAGGGUGCAAGCGUUAAUCGGAAUUACUGGGCGUAAAGCGUGCGCAGGCGGUUCGGAAAGAAAGAUGUGAAAUCCCAGAGCUCAACUUUGGAACUGCAUUUUUAACUACCUGGCUAGAGUGUGUCAGAGGGAGGUGGAAGUCCGCGUGUAGCAGUGAAAUGCGUAGAUAUGCGGAGGAACACCGAUGGCGAAGGCAGCCUCCUGGGAUAACACUGACGCUCAUGCACGAAAGCGUGGGGAGCAAACAGG
rnacentral:rRNA from 1 species